rnacentral:rRNA from 1 species
UACGGAGGGUGCAAGCGUUAUCCGGAUUUACUGGGUUUAAAGGGUGCGUAGGUGGGUUGGUAAGUCAGUGGUGAAAUACUUUCGCUUAACGAAGGAACUGCCAUUGAUACUACCAGUCUUGAAUACAGUGGAGGUAGGCGGAAUGCGUCAUGUAGCGGUGAAAUGCUUAGAUAUCACUUGGAACGCCAAAGGUGAAGACAGUCUGCUGGGGACUUGCUGACGCUGAGACACGAAAGCCAGGGGAGCGAACGGG